rnacentral:ncRNA from 1 species
UAUCUUCAGGGCAGGGUGAGAUUCCUGACCGGCAGUUACAGCCUGCGAGCCGCUUUGCGGUUGAUUCGGUGCAAGUCCGAAGCCGACGGUAUAGUCCGGAUGUGAGAAGAUG